rnacentral:rRNA from 1 species
GGUGAACGCUGGCGGUAGGCCUAACACAUGCAAGUCGAACGGCAGCACAGUAAGAGCUUGCUCUUACGGGUGGCGAGUGGCGGACGGGUGAGGAAUACAUCGGAAUCUACUUUUUCGUGGGGGAUAACGUAGGGAAACUUACGCUAAUACCGCAUACGACCUACGGGUGAAAGCAGGGGAUCUUCGGACCUUGCGCGAUUGAAUGAGCCGAUGUCGGAUUAGCUAGUUGGCGGGGUAAAGGCCCACCAAGGCGACGAUCCGUAGCCGGUCUGAGAGGAUGAUCAGCCACACUGGAACUGAGACGCGGUCCAGACUCCUACGGGAGGCAGCAGUGGGGAAUAUUGGACAAUGGGCGCAAGCCUGAUCCAGCCAUACCGCGUGGGUGAAGAAGGCCUUCGGGUUGUAAAGCCCUUUUGUUGGGAAAGAAAAGCAGCAGGUUAAUACCCCGCUGUUCUGACGGUACCCAAAGAAUAAGCACCGGCUAACUUCGUG